UACAGAGGUCCCGAGCGUUGUUCGGAUUCAUUGGGCGUAAAGGGUGCGUAGGCGGUCUUCUAAGUUUGAUGUGAAAUCCCGGGGCUCAACCCUGGCAUGGCAUUGAAUACUGGAGGACUAGAGUACCGGAGAGGAAACUGGAAUUUACGGUGUAGCAGUGAAAUGCGUAGAUAUCAGGAGGAACACCUGUGGUGUAGACGGCUUUCUGGACCAUAGCUGACGCUGAGACACGAAAGCGUGGGUAGCAAACAGG
rnacentral:rRNA from 1 species